rnacentral:rRNA from 1 species
CCCUUAGAUGUUCUGGGCCGCACGCGCGCUACACUGAUGCAUUCAACGAGUUUCUUCCUGGUCCGAGAGGAAUGGGUAGCCUUUUGAAAGUGCAUCGUGAUAGGGAUAGACUAUUGCAAUUAUUGGUCUUCAACGAGGAAUUCCUAGUAGACGUAGUUCAUCAGACUGCAUCGAUUACGUCCCUGCCCUUUGUACACACCGCCCGUCGCUACUACCGAUUGAAUGGUUUAGUGAGAUCUUCGGAUUGGCGCCACUGCGGCUCAGCAAUGGGCUCGGUGGAUGCCGAAAAGUUGAUCAAACUUGAUCAUUUAGAGGAAGUAAAAGUCGUAACA